CUAACGAGAAAAUGAAGUUCAAAAGAAAAUGUCAGUGGAAUGUCUCUUUUUGGAUCUUCUUGGCCUAAGCUGGACUGGGAAGAGCUGAAAAGCUUUUUUUCUGGAACAGCUGAUUGUGAGUUUUUUUCUGCAGCUUGCAAAUCAAAAGUACAGAUAAAUGAAGGCAAACAUCCCAGUGGUGGCCUGUUUGAGACCUGCCUGCAUCAAGUCUUUGAGAGGUGUGUUGUUUACCACUGGCACAUUCACUGAGGCAAACUACAGCUGUGUUUUCCCUUUUACAAAGAAAAAAACAAACUUGAAGAUGGAAUAUUUGAAAUUCCCAUGAGGCAAAUGUGAAAGAGAAACUCUUAUUUUGCAAAUCUGCCUAUGUUGCAUGAGCCAAUCCACAUUUUUUGAUGAGUGGAGUUGCCAGCAAUGCAUGCCAGGUUGGUUUUGAAUCUGAUGUGCUUCCCUUGGGCAUCUAGUGCUCCUAAUUCAACAGCAAGGAAGAAAAGAGCCAGGACCACUUUUAUUCUGGGAAAGGGCCUACAAAAAGCAGCACAGCUCUGCAUGCAGAUCUGGAUAUUAUUGUGGAAAUUAAACUAGUUAUUCAUAGCCAAAUUUCACCUGCAAUGGAUCAGCAUUACUUGUGAUUAAAGCUAGUAUGUUUGUUUUGCCAA